GAUGCUUCACAUAUAUUUUCUUGUUAUCUGUUUUGAUAUCCUAACAAUCUCAAACGAUUGGUAUCCUAAUUAGAGGAAUCUAAUCACAUUGGCUUACUAUAAUGUUUUUAGGAAGUGGUACAAGCAGUUUAAUGGUCAGAAGCAAUAUAAAGGGCCACCAAAACAGUUGACAGGUGAUGAUAUUCUGGAACAACUUAACCGCAUACCUGAGGUUAGUUUCGAAAAGGGACCAAAUAACAAGAAGUGAACUCAUGAAAAAUUUGAACUUAACUGGACAAAGAAGAUGAUGAUGGAGAUGACAUUCAAUAUAGUUUAGAUGAGGAACCAAAAUUGUUGUCCGAUGAUGAUACUGAUUUGGAUGACAUAUGAAGCUUUGUAUUGUUGAGCCUGUUCUGUAUUUUUUUGGAAUCAUGAUUAGUACAUUUUGUGAACUUUAUCUAGAAUUGAGUUCCUUCUCUUUUUCAAUAUAUUUACCUUUUAGUAUCUGUUGAGUGCUGGAAAUUAAUUAAGUUCAUUUGGUUGUGUGCUUCAUUACUUUUCUGAUUUAUUUAAACUAAUCUUAGAUCACUUGAUUUAUUUUCUGUUUAUGUUUUGAAGUAACCAAUAUCAAAUGAUGACUCAUAAUGUAUUCCGCAUAUGCUUGUUUAUUUUUAUUUAAUAUUACUAUAUCAGCUUUUAAACAGAAUUAUGGACACUUCUGAGGCACUAAUGCGUAGAAUAUUAUGGUCCAACAUAGCUCAAACUCGAAUUGAGAUACCAUCUACAAGUUCAGCUGCCACACAACCAAGUGGAGAAGCUGAUGGUAGUAACUCAAUAAGUCAACAACCUAUUAUGGAAGGUGCUGGUAAUACUUUGCAGACGAGGCCACAACCAAGUGGAGCCCAGUACGAAAACGGCGUGGAAAAGCAAAGAAUAUAGCCCUACACAAAGCUAAGGAACUCUAUGGAAAGGAUGUUCCAAUUUUGGUAAAGUUUGGGACGGAUUAUAUUAAACCUGUUGGCAAAAAUCAGAAUUUAUGGACGGCUAAGGUUGGCAUGCAUGCGAGGGAUAAAGAAGCGCUAUUGAAAUAUAAAACAUGGAGGGAAAUUCCAAAUUAUGAGAGACAAGUCUGCUAUGACCAUUUCAAGGUGACCUUUGGAGUGGAUGCACAUGACAAUGAAACUGAUUUCAAGCGAGUAACUAAAGAAAUGUCUGAACGUUUGAGGAAAUAUAGAUAUAAAUUGAAGAAUCAUUUUGGCAAGCAUCUUCCAAUUGAGAAUGCACGCUUUGAUAUUGAUGUUUGGGGAAAAAUGUGCGAUUGGUGGACAUCACCAGAAUUUCAAAAAAUAAGUGACAGAAAUAAAGUCAACCGUUCAAAGAAUGAUACUCCACAUGUUUCUGGAUCGAUGUCUUUUGCCAGACGCUAUGAUAUUUAUCUGAAAUAAAGUCAAGAAAGGCAAGAAAGGCAAAACGAAGAAGAUAAGGAAGUUGAAAGUCCCGAGGAAGGUCCUGCUAUUCGCUUGUACAAGGACACGCAUUUUAGGGAAGAAACUGGAUGAGUAAACGAGAGAGCUAAGCAGAACUACCCUGCGCGAUAGGAAAGUUUUUUAUAGAUGAGAAGAGCAGAAGUGAAUAAGUCAGUGAUGUCCUAUAUAUAAGAUGAAAUGAAACAGAAGUUUUCACAAGUUUUUCACAAUUCUGAUGGUACCAGUCAUAUCAUAAAUGAUGUUGAGAUAGUGGAAAACCAAUUAGGUAUCAGAAAGGGAUAUCGUCGUGGGUUCGGAAAUGGUUUUGUAGCUCCAAGCCAUCAACGUGCAUCCUCAUCUUUUGAAGCGGCUUCCAGAAAAAGGGUAAAAAAUGUUGAAGAAGAUAAUGCACAACUUAGGGAGAAAGUUACAAAUUUGGAGGAGAAGUUGGAUACAUUUCAGCACCUCCUUGAGCAGCAACACACCUCCUUCAGCAGCAACAACAAUAGCAACAGCAGCUCCAGCAGCUCCUUGAGCAGCAACAACAGAGCCAACAGCCGCCACCACGAUUCCACCAACAGCAACAUGCCCUACCAAGCUGGUAUCAGCAGCCACCAACAUGGUGGCAAUUUCAACACCACCCACUAGCACCACCACAACAAUCACCUGAAUGAACUAUAAAGAUAAUUAUUUUAGUAGAUAUAUUUUGGAGCUUUUUGAUGGCUAGCUAGCUGAUUUCUAACUAUUUUGGUAGUAUAUUUUUUGCCUGCAUUUUCAUGAUUGCAUUCAGUUUAAAAUGAUGUUUUAAUUUAUAUCAGAUGUUUAAUUUAUAACAGAUGUUUGAGACAUAUUCCAUGCACCGUAU